rfam:Schistosoma rodhaini strain Burundi genome assembly, scaffold: SROB_scaffold0012608
AUCCAGCCGACGAGUCCCAAAUAGGAAGAAACGUGCGUCCUGGGU